rnacentral:rRNA from 1 species
UACGUAGGGUGCGAGCGUUAAUCGGAAUUACUGGGCGUAAAGGGCUCGUAGGUGGCCAACUAAGUCAGACGUGAAAUCCCCAGGCUCAACUUGGGAACUGCGUCUGAUACUGGAUGGCUUGAAUUCGGGAGAGGGAUGCGGAAUUCCAGGUGUAGCGGUGAAAUGCGUAGAUAUCUGGAGGAACACCGGUGGCGAAGGCGGCAUCCUGGACCGACACUGACACUGAGGAGCGAAAGCCAGGGGAGCAAACGGG